UACGGGGGGGGCAAGCGUUGUUCGGAAUUACUGGGCGUAAAGGGCUCGUAGGCGGCCAACUAAGUCGGAUGUGAAAUCCCCAGGCUUAACCUGGGAAUUGCAUCCGAUACUGGAUGGCUUGAAUCCGGGAGAGGGAUGCGGAAUUCCAGGUGUAGCGGUGAAAUGCGUAGAUAUCUGGAGGAACACUGGUGGCGAAGGCGGCAUCCUGGACCGGCAUUGACGCUGAGGAGCGAAAGCCAGGGGAGCAAACGGG
rnacentral:rRNA from 1 species